GUCCACGCCGUAAACGAUGAGUGCUAGACGUUGGGAAGCCUAGCUUUUCAGUGUCGCAGCUAACGCAUUAAGCACUCCGCCUGGGGAGUACGGCCGCAAGGUUGAAACUCAAAGGAAUUGACGGGGGCCCGCACAAGCGGUGGAGCAUGUGGUUCAAUUCGACGCAACGCGAAGAACCUUACCAACCCUUGACAUGCCAGGACGGUUUCCAGAGAUGGACUCCUUCUCGCAAGAGACCUGGACACAGGUGCUGCAUGGCUGUCGU
rnacentral:rRNA from 1 species